CAUGCAAGUCGAGGGGAAACGGCAUUAAGUGCUUGCACUUUUUGGACGUCGACCGGCGCACGGGUGAGUAACGCGUAUCCAACCUGCCCCUUACCAGGGAAUAACCCGUUGAAAGACGGACUAAUGCCCUAUGCAGUCCUUUGACGGCAUCAGAUUAGGACUAAAGAUUCAUCGGUAUGGGAUGGGGAUGCGUCUGAUUAGCUUGUUGGCGGGGUAACGGCCCACCAAGGCAUCGAUCAGUAGGGGUUCUGAGAGGAAGGUCCCCCACAUAGGAACUGAGACACGGUCCUAACUCCUACGGGAGGCAGCAGUGAGGAAUAUUGGUCAAUGGGCGCUAGCCUGAACCAGCCAAGUAGCGUGCAGGAUGACGGCCCUAUGGGUUGUAAACUGCUUUUAUGCGGGGAUAAAGUCACCCACGUGUGGGUGUUUGCAGGUACCGCAUGAAUAAGGACCGGCUAAUUCCGUGCCAGCAGCCGCGGUAAUACGGAAGGUCCGGGCGUUAUCCGGAUUUAUUGGGUUUAAAGGGAGUGUAGGCGGCCUGUUAAGCGUGUUGUGAAAUGUAGAUGCUCAACAUCUGAACUGCAGCGUGAACUGGCUGGCUUGAGUACACGCAACGUGGGCGGAAUUCAUGGUGUAGCGGUGAAAUGCUUAGAUAUCAUGAGGAACUCCUAUUGCGAAGGCAGCUCACGGGAGUGUCACUGACGCUUAAGCUCGAAGGUGCGGGUAUCAAACAGGAUUAGAUACCCUGGUAGUCCGCACGGUAAACGAUGGAUGCCCGCUGUUGGCGCUUUGCGUCAGCGGCUAAGCGAAAGCAUUAAGCACCCCACCUGGGGAGUACGCCGGCAACGGUGAAACUCAAAGGAAUUGACGGGG
rnacentral:rRNA from 1 species